ACACAUGCAAGUCGAACGAUGAACCUCACUUGUGGGGGGAUUAGUGGCGAACGGGUGAGUAACACGUGAGUAACCUGCCCUUGACUCUGGGAUAAGCCUGGGAAACCGGGUCUAAUACUGGAUACGACCUUCUGGCGCAUGCCAUGUUGGUGGAAAGCUUUUGUGGUUUUGGAUGGACUCGCGGCCUAUCAGCUUGUUGGUGGGGUAAUGGCCUACCAAGGCGACGACGGGUAGCCGGCCUGAGAGGGUGACCGGCCACACUGGGACUGAGACACGGCCCAGACUCCUACGGGAGGCAGCAGUGGGGAAUAUUGCACAAUGGGCGCAAGCCUGAUGCAGCGACGCCGCGUGAGGGAUGAAGGCCUUCGGGUUGUAAACCUCUUUCAGUAGGGAAGAAGCCGGCCCUUGGGUUGGUGACGGUACCUGCAGAAGAAGCGCCGGCUAACUACGUGCCAGCAGCCGCGGUAAUACGUAGGGCGCAAGCGUUAUCCGGAAUUAUUGGGCGUAAAGAGCUCGUAGGCGGUUUGUCGCGUCUGCCGUGAAAGUCCGGGGCUUAACCCCGGAUCUGCGGUGGGUACGGGCAGACUAGAGUGCAGUAGGGGAGACUGGAAUUCCUGGUGUAGCGGUGAAAUGCGCAGAUAUCAGGAGGAACACCGAUGGCGAAGGCAGGUCUCUGGGCUGUAACUGACGCUGAGGAGCGAAAGCAUGGGGAGCGAACAGGAUUAGAUACCCUGGUAGUCCAUGCCGUAAACGUUGGGCACUAGGUGUGG
rnacentral:rRNA from 1 species